CUACGUGCCAGCAGCCGCGGUAAUACGGAGGGUGCGAGCGUUAAUCGGAAUAACUGGGCGUAAAGGGCACGCAGGCGGUGACUUAAGUGAGGUGUGAAAGCCCCGGGCUUAACCUGGGAAUUGCAUUUCAUACUGGGUCGCUAGAGUACUUUAGGGAGGGGUAGAAUUCCACGUGUAGCGGUGAAAUGCGUAGAGAUGUGGAGGAAUACCGAAGGCGAAGGCAGCCCCUUGGAAUGUACUGACGCUCAUGUGCGAAAGCGUGGGGAGCAAACAGGAUUAGAUACCCUGGUAGUCCACGCUGUAAACGAUGUCGAUUUGGGGGUUGAACUUUAGGUUUGGCGCCCGUAGCUAACGUGAUAAAUCGACCGCCUGGGGAGUACGGCCGCAAGGUUAAAACUCAAAUGAAUUGACGGGGGCCCGCACAAGCGGUGGAGCAUGUGGUUUAAUUCGAUGCAACGCGAAGAACCUUACCUACUCUUGACAUCCAGAGAACAUUC
rnacentral:rRNA from 1 species